rnacentral:rRNA from 1 species
AGUGAACGCUGGCGGUAGGCCUAACACAUGCAAGUCGAACGGCAGCACAGGAGAGCUUGCUCUCUGGGUGGCGAGUGGCGGACGGGUGAGGAAUACAUCGGAAUCUACUCUGUCGUGGGGGAUAACGUAGGGAAACUUACGCCAAUACCGCAUACGACCUACGGGUGAAAGCAGGGGAUCUUCGGACCUUGCGCGAUUGAAUGAGCCGAUGUCGGAUUAGCUAGUUGGCGGGGUAAAGGCCCACCAAGGCGACGAUCCGUAGCUGGUCUGAGAGGAUGAUCAGCCACACUGGAACUGAGACACGGUCCAGACUCCUACGGGAGGCAGCAGUGGGGAAUAUUGGACAAUGGGCGCAAGCCUGAUCCAGCCAUACCGCGUGGGUGAAGAAGGCCUUCGGGUUGUAAAGCCCUUUUGUUGGGUAAGAAAUCCAGCUGGCUAAUACCCGGUUGGGAUGACGGUACCCAAAGAAUAAGCACCGGCUAACUUCGUGCCAGCAGCCGCGGUAA